GACGAACGCUGGCGGCGUGCUUAACACAUGCAAGUCGAACGAUGAAGCAAAGAAUUGAAGCUUCGGCAGAAAUUCAUUUCGGAUUAGUGGCAGACGGGUGAGUAACGCGUGAGCAACCUACCUCUUACAAAGGGAUAGCCUCGGGAAACCGGGAUUAAUACCAUAUAACAUUGCGACGAAGCAUUUCGAUGCAAUCAAAGCUACGGCGGUAAGAGAUGGGCUCGCGUCCCAUUAACCAGAUGGUGAGGUAACGGCUCACCAUAGUAACGAUGGGUAACCGGCGUGCGAGGGGGAACGGUCACACUGGAACUGAGACACGACCCAGACUCCUACGGGCGGCAGCAGUGGGGAAUAUUGCGCAAUGGAGCGAACGCUGAUGCAGCGAGGCCGCGAGAGUGAUGAAGGGAUUCGUUUCGUAAAACUCUGUUCUAUGGGAAGAAAAGGACUGUACCAUAGGAGGAAGCACCGGCUAAAUACGUG
rnacentral:rRNA from 1 species